CUGGUUUAUCUUCAGAUUGUAUAAAUCUUCUGCCUUUUGCUAAAGAUUUCCAUGGAAAGGAACAUUUAAG
ensembl:snRNA U5 U5 spliceosomal RNA